rnacentral:rRNA from 1 species
CAGUAGCCACGGGAAUACGAGGGGGGCAAGCGUUGUUCGGAAUUAUUGGGCGUAAAGGGUGCGUAGGCGGCUUGACAAGUCUUGUGUGAAAUCUAUGGGCUCAACCCAUAGUCUGCACGGGAAACUGUCGGGCUUGAGAAUGGGAGAGGUGAGUGGAAUUUCCGGUGUAGCGGUGAAAUGCGUUGAGAUCGGAAAGAACACCAACGGCGAAAGCACUCUGCUGGGACGACACUGACACUGAGAGACGAAAGCUAGGGGAGCAAAUGGGAUUAGAUACCCGUGUAGUCCCUGUCUCUUAUAC